GAAAUCUUCACAAUUUAUGUCUUCUGCCAUGGCUUCAGCCAGUUCCUCCAUUUGGGGUCCCUGACUUCCCGCAACACCACACAACUUCUAACUUGGAAAAAAAAAUUUCAAAUAUUUUCAUACGUGCAAUGAAAGUAAUUAUUAGCAUGGCCCUAGAAAGCGUCAGCUUUGCCAAAACUAAGUGGUAAAUUGAUCCACAUUUAAUUUGGUUUCCUAUAUUAUAUGCUUCUGUUCAGAUUGUCUGAAGCCUAGUUAAAACACAGUGAUGCCUGCUGUCCAUUAAAUGUUAACCAGUGGAAUUUGUGCUAUGGUGUUUAUUAUUCUAGGAAUAGAAACAAUCUAAGAAGGAUAAAGGCGCUGGGCGCGGUGGCUCAAGCCUGUAAUCCCAGCACUUUGGGAGGCCGAGGCGGGCGGAUCACGAGGUCAGGAGAUCGAGACCAUCCUGGCUAACACGGUGAAACCCCGUCUCUACUAAAAAUACAAAAAAUUAGCCGGGCGCGGUGGCGGGCGCCUGUAGUCCCAGCUACUGGGGAGGCUGAGGCAGGAGAAUGGCGUAAACCCGGGAGGCGGAGCUUGCAGUGAGCUGAGAUCCGGCCACUGCACUCCAGCCUGGGUGACAGAGCAAGACUCCGUCUCAAAAAAAAAAAAAAAAAAAAGAAGGAUAAAGGCAGAAAAGUGGGAAAGGUUGUGAUGCCUUGAAGAGUUGACUUAGAGCAUAUCAAGAUGUACUGUGGUGUCAUAGAGUCAUGGGAAAGAAACUGAUGUCAGAAUGGUAUAGUAGGCUAAGAUCACCAUGAAAAAGACCCUGUGCACUCUCCUAAAGAGACUGAAUGAUGAUCCCAGGAACCAACGUGGCAGUUACAAAAGAGGAUCUCCGAGGAAGAGUACUUCUCUUUGACUGAGAUCAUUAACUCCCAGCGCAGCGGCUAGGAGAAAAGAGGAUUUAGAUUUGGACUCCAAAGAUAAUUUAAAAGUACAUCCAAUUUCCAACUCCCCCUGGGUGGCUUUGAGCGAUGAAAAACUGUGGAGUUUUACAAUGUCAGUAAGUAUUAAUAAGCUUAAAUGUUCACUGAACUAAAAAAAGUCAAAUAUUAGGGCUCUACAGAGUAGGGCUUAGAUAGUGCACUUGAAGUGCAUGCUAAAAUCACUUU
rnacentral:lncRNA from 1 species